UACGUAGGUGGCGAGCGUUGUCCGGAUUUAUUGGGCGUAAAGCGCGCGCAGGCGGUGCGGUAAGUCUGUCGUGAAAUCUCCCGGCUCAACUGGGAGGGUGCGGUGGAGACUGCCGGACUGGAGGCACUCAGAGGCCGGUGGAAUUCCCGGUGUAGUGGUGAAAUGCGUAGAGAUCGGGAGGAACACCAGUGGCGAAGGCGGCCGGCUGGGGGUGACCUGACGCUGAGGCACGAGAGCUAGGGUAGCGAACGGG
rnacentral:rRNA from 1 species